GGAAAUUCCUAAAGGAAAUAGCAAUCUAUAACAACUUAAACAUUCCUCUGCGAUCCUUGUGGCUUGCCUGAGGGAGGAAAGGUCAUUCACACACAUAGAGCAUAAAUAACCUUAAAAUCGAGUCACUGGCAACCUCUACUGAUGUCCAAGCUUCCGCUGGCCCUUGGCCACCUACACACCGUGGCUGCAUUCACACCUGUGGGCUCCAAGCAAAGCACAAACCCCCAGUUCUCUCUAAGGUCACAUGAACACAGUCUUCGGUCCAUGUGGAAAUGAGAUCACAAGACAGAUUAAAGAGGGUUCCAGGGCGAUGUCCCCAGCUUGCGCUGACUCCAGCUCAUCAAGGCAACUGUUUAUGGAAACCGCCUCUUCUUCAAACACUUCCUUCUCGAUAAUCACCAGCACGUGCGUGUGUCAAAACCUAGCCAGAUAAACCCCAGUACAGUGUCUCCGAGGUGGCUCGGCUCUAUUUGUCCUCCAAAACCUCUAUGGUUUAUUUUGGUCAGCUCGUAGCUGGCUCUGCCCUCUGACUCCAAGCAAGCUUUAUCUGUCAGAACACAAUCAAAAUAUCACACAACAGAUGACUACAUCAGAACUGAGUUUUCCAGACACACAAGUGCAGCUGGACAUACGAACUCACAGACGUUGUGACAGAUGAACAAGGAACAAAGGGAAGCCAGGCAAAAUGCUAACACUGGUGGGAAGACAAAUUAAGAACUCCAUUACACAAAGUCCUACCCCUAACUGAGGCGCGAGUGAUAAUUGACAGCAACAGGGCCACACAGCCAAGAGUUUAUCGACAGCACAAGUUGGACUCGACGGUUUUUGCUUUAAUUUCGUGAGGAAAAGCCCUGGAUUCCUUGGAACAUGCUUUGUUGACCAGGCAGACCUCAAACUCACAAGAUCUGCCUACCCUGCCUCCGAGUGCUAGGAUUAAAGGCACACCACCACCAUUGCCUCAUUGCAUCUUGACGUUUCAAUGAGAGCUCCAUGUCUGGUGUGGGAGCAUGCUCUCUGUGAUGUCAUGGUCUUCCUCACAUCUGAAGAAAUGUUCCAGUGUGCCUGCUGUGAAGCUCAGUGGAGAUGCUGCCAUUGGGGACUUUCUGGAACAAGUGAGCGGCACAUACUUUCAGUCAGGCAAAGAAGCUUUCUAGAAAUGUGUUUGAAACGCCUUUUUUCCUACUUUUUUUUUCCUACUUUUUGCUACUGCUCCAUGACAUAAACAUCUUUUACCACAUGGAGAACAUACCUGGGGUUCACUAGAGAGCUCUGCUCUGGCUUUCGGGGGCAUGGGCGAUUUACACUGAUACAAAAGAGGAUCUGG
rnacentral:lncRNA from 1 species